rnacentral:rRNA from 1 species
GACGGAGGAUGCAAGUGUUAUCCGGAAUCACUGGGCGUAAAGCGUCUGUAGGUGGUUCGAAAAGUCCACUGUUAAAAAUUGAAGCUUAACUUCAAAGAUGCCGUGGAAACUUUUAAACUUGAGUAUGGUAGGGGUAGAGGGAAUUUCCAGUGGAGCGGUGAAAUGCGUAGAUAUUGGAAAGACCACCAAUGGCGAAGGCAACUCUACUGGGCCAUUACUGACACUGAGAGACGAAAGCUAGGGGAGCAAAUGGG